rnacentral:rRNA from 1 species
CCCUUAGAUGUUCUGGGCUGCACGCGCGCUACACUGAAGCUAUCAACACGUUUUCCCUCCCUGAGAAGGGCGGGUAACCUUUUGAAUCAGCUUCGUGGUAGGGAUCGGGGCUUGCAAUUGUUCCCCGUGAACCAGGAAUUCCUAGUAGACGCGAGUCAUAAGCUCGCAUCGAUUAAGUCCCUGCCCUUUGUACACUCCGCCCGUCGCUACUACCGAUUGAACGUUUUAGUGAGGCAUUUGGACCGACGCAUCUCAGUUUAACCGCUGGUUUGUGUUGGAAAGACUUCCAAACUUGAGCGUUUAGAGGAAGUAAAAGUCGUAACA